GCAUUGGUGGUUCAGUGGUAGAAUUCUUGCUUCCCAUGUGAGAGGCCUGGGUCGAUUCCCAGCCAAUGCA